rnacentral:rRNA from 1 species
UACAGAGGAGCCAAGCGUUGUCCGGAUUGACUGGGCGUAAAGCGCACGCAGGCGGUCUUGCGCGUGGGGUGUGAAAUCUGGCCGCUUAACGGCCAGGCGCCAUCCCAUACGGCUCGACUGGAGUGAUGCAGAGGUCGAUGGAAUUGCCGGUGUGGUGGUGAAAUGCGUAGAGAUCGGCAGGAACACCCAGGGGGAAACCAGUCGACUGGGCAUCUACUGACGCUGAGGUGCGAGAGCGUGGGGAGCGAACCGG